rnacentral:rRNA from 1 species
GAUGAACGCUGGCGGCGUGCCUAAUACAUGCAAGUCGAGCGAACAGACGAGGAGCUUGCUCCUCUGACGUUAGCGGCGGACGGGUGAGUAACACGUGGAUAACCUACCUAUAAGACUGGGAUAACUUCGGGAAACCGGAGCUAAUACCGGAUAAUAUAUUGAACCGCAUGGUUCAAUAGUGAAAGACGGUUUUGCUGUCACUUAUAGAUGGAUCCGCGCCGCAUUAGCUAGUUGGUAAGGUAACGGCUUACCAAGGCAACGAUGCGUAGCCGACCUGAGAGGGUGAUCGGCCACACUGGAACUGAGACACGGCCCAGACUCCUACGGGAGGCAGCAGUAGGGAAUCUUCCGCAAUGGGCGAAGGCCUGACGGAGCAACGCCGCGUGAGUGAUGAAGGUCUUCGGAUCGUAAAACUCUGUUAUUAGGGAAGAACAAAUGUGUAAGUAACUAUGCACGUCUUGACGGUACCUAAUCAGAAAGCCACGGCUAACUACGUG